UGGGAUGUGAUUUACCCACGGCUGGGAGGGU
rnacentral:piRNA from 1 species